UUGGUGAUCAAACAUCCUCAGAGGUCCAUCUGACUAUAGAAGGUGAUCAACUGGUUGGUGCUCAGGUUAUCGUGACGGUCCUGGGAAUCAUUCUGCUCGUCACUACUUUGGUCAUCUUUGCGUGCUGGUUGAAAUCAAGACGCUGCACCAAACCACAGGAGGACGCAGAAGAAGACAUUUAUGUUAACAUGGUGGCCAUCAGGCGGAAGAGGAAGCUAUGAAGCUGUAUCUUCUUCUCUGUAUUCAUUAUUACAUUACAGGUCAUUUAGCUGAAGCUUUUAUCCAAAGCUUACAUUACAUUUUUAACCCAUGGCUUU